CCAGCUUGAGCUGCCAAUUUCCAGGGGCCCUGAUCUCCCGGCCAAACAUCAUUUUGGCCGGUGACUGUCCGGUGUUUCGGUUCUCUCUCUGUUUUCUUACGGAGAACAACACGUGUGGCAGAAAGACAUCCCACUGAUGAUGAGGCUUAUCAACAAGUAGGGUUCGUAACCCUUUCUUCAACUCUUGAUUUCGCCUUUCUACCUGGUUGGCACGUGGGUGGUAUACUGGUGUCAUCCAACCUUCCACUCCCCACUUCUUGAGUGCCUCUCCCAUUGCCUUGGAAACGAACUGCGAGCCAUUAUCUGACAAUAAUGCCCUCGGGUGUCUGAACCGUGGGAACAACUCUCGUUCGAAACAACAACGGCAGCAGCGAGGGUCGAGGCGGCGGGGCCGUGGGAGAAGUAGUUUUGUCAGUCAAACUCCCAGGGCGGUGGGGGGAGCCGGCCGCAGCCUCGACCCCCAAAUCGGAGGUGGGGUUCACGACCGCCACCUCAACCUCUGCAACUCCAAUUGUGAUCGGGUCGGCAGAAAUUGGGCGGUGGGAGGUGAUGGAGGCUGGUAAGUUUCAAUUGGACGAUUUCGUCUACUUCAUAAUUUAUUUAACAAUUGUAUUUUUUAAAUAUUUUUCAGAAUGAAUAAAGCACCAUUUCAUGUAACUUUUAUUGUUAUUUAUUAUUUCCUUGUUCCCAAUUGUUUUAUAAACUGUAACUGUAACGUUUGUCAAUUGACAAUUGUGUGUGAGGUGUGUCAUUAAAUAUUUUAGUAGUUGGUCAACAACAGUAAUAUAUUAUUAGUAAUAAUAAAAUAGGUAAGUGAUGUGUGUUGCUGGUAUGAAAUGUAAGUGUUGAAAACCUUAUCUUGAUUUUAUUCAUCAGAAUAGAGUUUACUUCACAAAAUGUGCUAAAAGAUAAUUAAUCAUUAUAACUGU